UUCAUGGUGCUGGCUGAAGACCUGCUGUUCGGUCCAGAGCUGCGAGGACGCCGGGCGACGCUUCUGCUUCCGGGUGGUCACGCCCACAAGGCUUCAUCUGGAAACCUCCACACUGUUGGUCCUCUGGGGUGAGGUGUUCCUCAGAGGUGACGUGUUCCACAGGGAUUAAAGAUCCUUCACCUGAAAUUCAUCAAUAUGUGAAGAAGAAACUCAACAACUGGAGGAAACUGAAGGUUGUGGGUUUAGUUACCACAAAUAAAUACUACUUAGAUUUAAUCCAGACUGGAAGUAUCAGCACUUCUACACAGGACAGUACGAUCUAUGGGGGUGACGUGUCCCUCUUCUGCUGACUGCAUUAUCAAAAGAUCUGACAGGCAGAUAGACAAAUGUACUUUAUUAAAGAGAAAUCCAGGAAUACUCUUUUAGACUCUUUAACUGUUUAUUUUUAAUGCUGUGAGGCUGUAAACAGAGUGAAAAUGUUGAAACUAUUGUGGGACUGAGCAGCAUCAGACAGAAAAGACUUCUAAUAGAACUUUUUGGGUUGGUUUCACAGCCUUAAUCCCUGUCUGGGAAACAACCCUUUGAGUUUGGUGGAAGUGGUUUUGUGGCCCAAAGUGAAAUGAUUAAGUCUGAUGUUCUUUACAUCUAGUUUCUCAUCCACUCCCAAUAACAGUGCUGUACUAAUACUUUUAACUUUUACUAUAAACCUGUAAAACAACCUGUAA